CAAACCAAAGAAUGAAGCCAGAGGUUGAUUUACCGGCAGCUGAAGAAGCUGAGGAGGCAGAAUCUGUAAACCCGGAGCUACAACAACCUGAGAGAGAGGAGGAAAACGAUGUUGCAGAGAAUGAGGAGGAAACAUCUCAGAGCCCUCACCUUGAGGAUAAAAUUCCAAAACCAGAGUGCUGCAAAGAAGAAGCGACACCAUUAGAGGAGGCUGACAGUACACAGUAAGACACUAGAAAUAGA